GUGACUGAGGCUUCUGUCUGACCAAGGAUAUUGCUGUGAGUGGUAUAACCACUCAUCUCUGUGCUUGUAUAAGGAACACAAAGACAUUUUAGAAUCCUGCCAACAAGCUCAGAACGAGUGACCAACCGGAAAAGGACUCCUUCCUGAAAUGGUGACUCAGCAAAUAGUUCAAGAUACAAAUUCAUGUGUGAAUAAUGAGAUACAUAAAAAAUUCCACCCUGAAGUACAUAAAAAUGCCUAUCCUCUCCUAUUUCUAGAAGCCAUCAUCUUUAUUAUUUUUGUUUGGAAAUUAGAAUACCAUCAUCAUGAGAGAAGGAAGGAAGAGCAAG